rfam:Microbispora rosea strain ATCC 12950 genome assembly, contig: Ga0104720_103
GGGCGAUUAGCUCAGCGGGAGAGCGCUUCCCUGACACGGAAGAGGUCACUGGUUCAAUCCCAGUAUCGCCCA